UCCAACUUCUUCCUCCGAGUUUCACUCACUCUUCCCGCCAAAACCUCGCCAUUGUCCAGUGCCGCCACCGCCUCCGCCUCCUCCUCCCUCCCACUCGGCUUUGCAAAUCAGUGCAUCGGUAACCUAACAUAUCUCCCUCCCUCUCUCAUCGUCAAGUGCAGGUUGUUUUUGAAAGUAUUUAUGUUUACCUCUUUUUGCUAAUAAAUAUUAGCAAAGAAGUGUUUAUAUUGAUUCAUGUUACAUUAAAUUUUAUGUUAUUAGCAAUUGCUUGAUGUCUUUCCUGUUUUUCGUUCCACCGCUUGAUACCUUUGGAUCUUGAGUUUUUGAAGAAUCGCAAUUGUAACUAUUUAGGUUUGGUUCUUGUCGGAUAAUUUUGUUUAUGUCGAAUUAGGCGGAGUGGAUUGAAUUUUUCUAUGUAAUUGGUCCUCUUUGAUGUUUUCUAUUGGUUUCUUUAAUCGAGAGCCUCAAUGAUCGAUUGGAGAGGGGAACGAGUGUCGGUGAGGACAUUGGGCCCCUAGGGAUAGACUGUUAAAUCCUAUGUCAGUUGGAGAGGGGAACGAAACAUUGUUUAUAAGGGUGUGGAAACCUCAACCUAAUAGAUGCAUUUUAAAAAUCUUGAGGGAAAGUCUGAAAGAAAAAGCUCAAGGAGAAUAAUAUCUGCUAGGGGUGGGCUUGGAUCAUUACACUCGAGGAAUAUGGAAUGUGUUUUGGUUGGAACUAAUAGACUUGAUGCCAUUAAGGGUGAGCUGGAGAAACUAUUCCUGGAUAAGGUUCGUGUAAAAAGUUGUCUGUAAACCUGUUGGUUAGCCCUAUUCAAUUUACUACGCUUGUACUGAGAUGAACUUUGUCAUGAAUGUGGUUGCAAACUUGGGGCUCUGUAUUUCUGUUUACGAUAUAAGAUCGGUUGAUAGGGGCUUUAUCUUUCCCAGUGAUGGCGUUGCAAUGUACAAGGUACUCGUGCACUGUUGUAUUUCUUCUUCAAGAUUGAACCAUUGAACCAUUAAAGUUCCUUUGUUACCUAGUGUCAAUGCAACAUGUAAUAGCUAAGCCUAUCACUAAAAGAUAUUGUCUGCUUUGAUCUAUUAUGUAUCGUCGUCAACCUCACGUUUUUAAAAUGCGUCUACUAGGGAGAGGUUUUCACACCCUUACAAGGAAUGCUCCAUUCCUCUCUCCAACCGAUGUGGGUUCUCACAACAUAGAUGGAUAUGGGACUAUGACGGUCAACCAUAUGACAUAUAUGAAAUGGAUGAGUCAGAGGAAGACUGGUUUAUAGUUGGGAUAUCAAUUUUGAUGAGUAUGAGUACCCAUCCAACAAGUUUUAGAAUCUAUUUGAAAUGACUUUUCAACGUUUGGGAGACAAGGCAGCAAUUGAUUGUGAUGGAGUGGGGACCUAUUUCAUGAUGGAAUGGCUCGGGAGAUGCCGAUGCUGAGGCCGAGGUCGAAGUCGAAGAAGAUUCCUAAGGUCAACAUCCUAUUUUGCUACUAUAACAAAUUGGCAUUCAUUCAUUCAUACCUCUGUAUUAUAUAUCAUUAUCACUAGGCAU